rnacentral:tRNA from 1 species
GCCCCCAUCGUCUAGCGGCCUAGGACGCGGCCCUCUCAAGGCCGAAACAGGGGUUCAAUUCCCCUUGGGGGCA